UCGGCCACAACUGGACCUAAUGGUCCCUUUACCUUUAAGUUAUAAGUUUUACUUAACUUAUAACUUAAAGGUAAAGGGACCAUUAGGUCCAGUUGUGGCCGA